AGAGUUUGAUCCUGGCUCAGGAUGAACGCUAGCUACAGGCUUAACACAUGCAAGUCGAGGGGCAGCAUGAAAGUUUGCUUGCAAACUUUUGAUGGCGACCGGCGCACGGGUGAGUAACACGUAUCCAACCUGCCUCAUACUCGGGGAUAGCCUUUCGAAAGAAAGAUUAAUACCCGAUGUCAUAGUCCUACCGCAUGAUGGGAUUAUUAAAGAAUUUCGGUAUGGGAUGGGCAUGCGGCGCAUUAGCUAGUCGGCGGGGUAACGGCCCACCGAGGCGACGAUGCGUAGGGGUUCUGAGAGGAAGGUCCCCCACACUGGUACUGAGACACGGACCAGACUCCUACGGGAGGCAGCAGUGAGGAAUAUUGGUCAAUGGGCGGGAGCCUGAACCAGCCAAGUCGCGUGAGGGAAGACGGUCCUACGGAUUGUAAACCUCUUUUGCCGGGGAGCAACGGGGUCCUUGCGAGGGCCCGAUGAGAGUACCCGGAGAAAAAGCAUCGGCUAACUCCGUGCCAGCAGCCGCGGUAAUACGGAGGAUGCGAGCGUUAUCCGGAUUUAUUGGGUUUAAAGGGUGCGUAGGCGGGCUGUUAAGUCAGCGGUCAAAUGUCGGGGCUCAACCCCGGCCUGCCGUUGAAACUGGCGGCCUCGAGUGGGCGAGAAGUAUGCGGAAUGCGUGGUGUAGCGGUGAAAUGCAUAGAUAUCACGCAGAACUCCGAUUGCGAAGGCAGCAUACCGGCGCCCGACUGACGCUGAGGCACGAAAGCGUGGGUAUCGAACAGGAUUAGAUACCCUGGUAGUCCACGCAGUAAACGAUGAAUGCUAGCUGUCCGGUUCUACGGGACUGGGUGGCACAGCGAAAGCGUUAAGCAUUCCACCUGGGGAGUACGCCGGCAACGGUGAAACUCAAAGGAAUUGACGGGGGCCCGCACAAGCGGAGGAACAUGUGGUUUAAUUCGAUGAUACGCGAGGAACCUUACCCGGGCUCAAACGCCAAAGGACAGCCGUUGAAAGGCGGCCUCCCUCCGGGGUCUUUGGCGAGGUGCUGCAUGGUUGUCGUCAGCUCGUGCCGUGAGGUGUCGGCUUAAGUGCCAUAACGAGCGCAACCCCCAUCGACAGUUGCUAACGGGUAGAGCCGAGGACUCUGUCGAGACUGCCGGCGCAAGCUGCGAGGAAGGCGGGGAUGACGUCAAAUCAGCACGGCCCUUACGUCCGGGGCGACACACGUGUUACAAUGGCCGGUACAGCGGGAUGCCAGGGCGCGAGCCCGAGCGGAACCCGAAAACCGAUCUCAGUUCGGAUUGUAGUCUGCAACCCGACUACAUGAAGCUGGAAUCGCUAGUAAUCGCAGAUCAGAAUGCUGCGGUGAAUACGUUCCCGGGUCUUGCACUCACCGCCCGUCA
rnacentral:rRNA from 1 species